GGAAGCUUCAGUGUGAGAAUGCCUCAGUGUGAAGAAGGCCUAGUGUGAGGAAGCCUCAGUGUGAGAAAGGCCUUGUGUGUGAGAAGGCCUGUUGUGUAAUGCUUCAUGUGUGAAGCCCCAGUGUGAAGGCUGCUGUGUGUAAAUCUGCUGUGUGUAAAGCUUCUGUGUAAGUUCGGUGUGAGAGCAAGCUCUGUGAGAGCAACGUUGUUUAUCUACAUGGAAGGAAGUAUAAAGAACUUUAUUUGUAUUAUGGAAACCUUGUUUUUGAAAAUAGUGCAACCACAUUAUUUUGCUAUAAAGAAAGGCCUCUUAAGGAAGAGAUAUCAUUGGUCUGUGCAUUUUUGUUCAUUUUAUCACUUUUGGCUACUGAUGCUGGGUCACACUAUUGCUAAUAAGUUACUCUGCUGUGUAUUUAUGGGGAGAGUCUUCUGUUAAACCCACUUGCCCAACAUGUCUUACAAACUCUGUGGGUUUUGCAUUAUGUAUGUAGGAAUGAAGAACUUCGGAAAGGCAGAAAGGAUGAUGCAGAAGGCAAUAUUACCCAGAGGAUACAGAAGCAAGUAUGUUGCGAUCGCAAGGAACACAAUGUUUAUGCCGCGGAGGGCCACCUGUGCUUUAGAGUGUUUCUACAAGAACAAAUCUGGGUGUCUCAAUUUAUACGUCUCUUUUCAUUGUGUGUGGAAUGCACUUUCUGGAAGCGCUUUACGUGCCAUAAAUAUAAAACAUCCCAGGACUUCUGAGAAAACUGAAGGCUGCUGUAAUGCCAAAGCAAAUAGAUGGGAACAUUGUACUGGAGACACAAGAAUUCAGUCAUGCUUUCAAAAAAAGAAGACAGGGCAAAAGAAUGUGUGUUUAUAUGCAGCAGUCCCCCCGUUGCCAUGAAUUUCGACUCACAAAGAUCACAUUAAACUUUUUGCAGUUUUAUGGUAAUGUUAACAACAUAAAAGCCACGUCAAAAUUUACUUACUAUUUGUGUAGAUUGUUAUGCUGAUAAAUCUCCAGUCUUUCUUUAACUCUAAAAUGUAAAGCUUUGUUAGGGGUGUCUCAUUCACUGGACAUUAAUGAAAUACAUAAAAUGGAAGGGACAAUUAAGCAACAUACAGAUGCAUUCGUCUUGUUUUUGCUAAGCAGUGGUAUCUAGCUUUGCUCUAUGGAAACCUCUUGAUAAAUUAUUUCACUUCUGCUUUGCAUUCAUGCUUUAAAGUGUGAUGCAUUUCCAGCACAACCACAUACGCACUCUUCAAGUUAAUGUUUACAUCAGCUAUUUCUAGACUUCAUUGCAUUGAAAAUGACAGAACUACUGAAUGCACAAUGACUAUUGAACUAACCCGGGAUUUCAGUAGAUAACCAUCACUGAACCCUUGUUUUAGAAAUCUCUUGCUGGUCACAGUCUCAUUCUCUUUGUCUCACUACAUUUAUUGAUGUGUUUUAUUUCACAGAUAAAAGGGUAGGUUAACAUUUGCAUUUGUUGUAAGCUGCUUUAAAGACAGUGAAAGCAUAUACAGUAGAGUCUCACUUAUCCAACACUCGCUUAUCCAACGUUCUGGAUUAUCCAACACAUUUUUGUAGUCGAUGUUUUCAAUAAAUCGUGAUAUUUUGGUGUUAAAUUCAUAAAUUCUUUCGCCGCUCAUGAUGGCGGCGAAAGAAGGCAGAGAAGAACGACGCUGGUGACAACGGACGAGGAUCUUAUCCAAGCUUCUAGAUUAUCCAAGCCAUUUUUGUAGUCAAUGUUUCAAUAUAUCAUGAUAUUUUGGUCGUAAAUUCGUAAAUACAGUAAUUACAACAUAACAUUUACUGCGUAUUGAACUACUUUUUCUGUCCAAUUUGUUGUAUAACAUGAUGUUUUGGUGCUUAAUUUGUAAAAUCAUAACCUAAUUUGAUGUUUAAUAGGUUUUUCCUUAAUCCCUCCUUAUUAUCCAAGAUAUUCGCUUAUCCAAGCUUCUGCUGGCCCGUUUAUGUUUGAUGAGUAAGACUCUACUGUAUUAAUAUAACACAAAUAGAGGUAUAAUACCAUAAGUAGUAUUAACAUCUAUAUAUAUAAAAGGGUAAUGAAAUUUCGGCCUAGGACAAAACAAUUAGAAGGAGAGGAAUAAUUGUUUUUAUCCAAUUGCUGCCAGUUAGAAGGCUAAGCUCCGCCCACUUGGUCUCCUAGCAACCCACUCAGCCCAGGGGACAGGCAGAGUUAGGCCUCACUUAUUUUUAUUUAUUUAUUUACAGUAUUUAUAUUCCGCCCUUCUCACCCCGAGGGGGACUUAGGGCGGAUCACAUUACACAUAUAAGGCAAACAUUCAAUGCCUUUAACAUAGAACAAAGACAAGACGAACAUAGGCUCCGAGCUGGCCUCGAACUCAUGACCUCUUGGUCAGAGUGAUUUGUUGUAGCUGGCUGCAGCUGGCUGGCUGCUCACCAGCCUGCUCCACAGCCCGGGCCUCUUCCACACUGCCUAUAAAAUACAGAUUAUCUGAUUUUAACUGGAUUAUAUGGCAGAUCCACACAGCUAUAUAACCCACUGAACUUAAUCUCAGGGGAAAACCUUUACCCUUUACCUUAACUACCACCAAUUCCUCAAUACUUUAUUUCCCAUACCACCAUACUUCGCCACAGCAACGCAUGGCUGGGCACAGCUAGUGUAUUAUAAUAGAAUACAUUUCAUUAGCUAUCUCUUUAUAGCAGUGGUUCCCAACCUUUUCUUCACCAGGGACCACUCUCCAACAUUAGUAACAAAAAGGUUACGA
rnacentral:lncRNA from 11 species